rnacentral:tRNA from 1 species
GUUUUAAUAGUUUAAAUUAAAACUUUGGUCUUGUAAACCAAAAAUGAAAUAAAUUUUCUUAAAACU